rnacentral:rRNA from 1 species
AAGAGCUUUACCAAGGCUUGACAUACACCGGAAACGGCCAGAGAUGGUCGCCCCCUUGUGGUCGGUGUACAGGUGGUGCAUGGCUGUCGUCAGCUCGUGUCGUGAGAUGUUGGGUUAAGUCCCGCAACGAGCGCAACCCUUGUUCUGUGUUGCCAGCAUGCCCUUCGGGGUGAUGGGGACUCACAGGAGACUGCCGGGGUCAACUCGGAGGAAGGUGGGGACGACGUCAAGUCAUCAUGCCCCUUAUGUCUUGGGCUGCACACGUGCUACAAUGGCCGGUACAAAGAGCUGCGAAACCGUGAGGUGGAGCGAAUCUCAAAAAGCCGGUCUCAGUUCGGAUUGGGGUCUGCAACUCGACCCCAUGAAGUCGGAGUUGCUAGUAAUCGCAGAUCAGCAUUGCUGCGGUGAAUACGUUCCCGGGCCUUGUACACACCGCCCGUCACGUCACGAAAGUCGGUAACACCCGAAGCCGGUGGCCCAACCCCUUGUGGGAGGGAGCUGUCGAAGGUGGACGCAGG